CAGUAGCCGCGGGAACACGUAGGGUGCGAGCGUUAAUCGGAAUUACUGGGCGUAAAGCGUGCGCAGGCGGUUUUGUAAGACAGGCGUGAAAUCCCCGGGCUCAGCCUGGGAAUGGCGCUUGUGACUGCAAAGCUAGAGUGCGGCAGAGGGGGAUGGAAUUCCGCGUGUAGCAGUGAAAGGCGUAGAUAUGCGGAGGAACACCGAUGGCGAAGGCAAUCCCCUGGGCCUGCACUGACGCUCAUGCACGAAAGCGUGGGGAGCAAACAGGAUUAGAUACCCCCGUAGUCCCUGUCUCUUAUAC
rnacentral:rRNA from 1 species